rnacentral:sRNA from 1 species
CCCUAGCCCCGAUUGGAAUGACAUCCUUUUUGGUUACGGGUUCCGCUUCGCUCCACCCGUAACCAAAAAGAUAUAGUGGAAAGCGGGAAAAAGC